AUUGAACGCUGGCGGCAUGCCUUACACAUGCAAGUCGAACGGUAACGGGCCUUCGGGCGCCGACGAGUGGCGAACGGGUGAGUAAUGUAUCGGAACGUACCAUUGAGUGGGGGAUAACGUAGCGAAAGUUACGCUAAUACCGCAUAUUCUCUCCGGAGGAAAGCAGGGGACCGCAAGGCCUUGCGCUCUUUGAGCGGCCGAUAGCAGAUUAGCUAGUUGGUGGGGUAAAAGCUCACCAAGGCGACGAUCUGUAGCGGGUCUGAGAGGAUGACCCGCCACACUGGAACUGAGACACGGUCCAGACUCCUACGGGAGGCAGCAGUGGGGAAUUUUGGACAAUGGGGGCAACCCUGAUCCAGCCAUGCCGCGUGAGUGAAGAAGGCCUUCGGGUUGUAAAGCUCUUUCAGCCGGGAAGAAAUCGCAUGGGCUAAUACCCCGUGCGGAUGACGGUACCGGAAUAAGAAGCACCGGCUAACUACGUGCCAGCCGCCGCAGUAA
rnacentral:rRNA from 1 species